rnacentral:rRNA from 1 species
GUCCGUAGCCGGUUUAGUAAGUUCCUGGUAAAACCGGGCAGCUUAACUGUCCGUAUGCUAGGAAUACUGCUAUGCUAGAGGGCGGGAGAGGUCUGAGGUACUACAGGGGUAGGGGUGAAAUCUUAUAAUCCUUGUAGGACCACCAGUGGCGAAAGCGUCAGACUGGAACGCGCCUUACGGUGAGGGACGAAAGCCAGGGGAGCGAACCGGAUUAGAUACCCGGGUAGUCCUGGCCGUAAACGAUGCAUACUAGGCAAUGGCGCGGCCAUGAGCCGCAUCAGUACCGUAGGGAAACCGUUAAGUGUGCCGCCUGGGAAGUACGGUCGCAAGGCUAAAACUUAAAGGAAUUGGCGGGAGAGCACCACAGAGGGGUGAAGCCUGCGGUUCAAUUGGACUCAACGCCGGGAAACUUACCAGGGGAGACAGCAGAAUGACAGUCAGGUUGACGACCUUACUCGACGAGCUGAGAGGAGGUGCAUGGCCGUCGCCAGUUCGUGCUGUGAGGUAUCCUGUUAAGUCAGGCAACGAACGAGAUCCGCGCCUUUAUUUGCCAUCAAGAAGUCACGACUUCGUUGGGAACACUAAAG